AACUUUUAGCAAUGGAUCACUUGGUUCUGGCAUCGAUGAAGAACGCAGCGAAAUGCGAUAAGUAAUGUGAAUUGCAGAAUUCAGUGAAUCAUCGAGUCUUUGAACGCAUAUUGCGCCCUUUGGUAUUCCGAAGGGCAUACCUGUUCGAGCGUCAUUACACCCCUCAAAGUUAACUCUUUGGCGUUGGGCAAUGCCGAAAGGCAUGCCUCAAAAUCAGCGAUGGUGAUAUUCAACCACAGGCGCACAAACGUCGUCUAGCUGGCGGGAUGUUGUCAGUCAAUUGAUGAAUUUUCUAAAUGUUGACCUCGGAUCAGGUAGGAAUACCCGCUGAACUUAAGCAUAUCAAUAAGCGGAGGCU
rnacentral:misc_RNA from 1 species